CAUGAUGGUAAUUUUGUCAGCAAUCCCCAAAUUUUCCUUAUAAGAAAAAAACAUAAAAAUUUCAGAUAAUGCAUCGAUAAUAUUUUUUGGCGGUGCAUCGAUAAUUACGAUAAUAUUGAAUUGAUUAUGGAGGGUGGAUCAUUUUAAGGGUUAAGGUGUAAAUGCAUCUAUAAUGUAGACACUCCUAAAACGUAUACUAUUUUUAUACUUGAUAUUGGAUCAAUUAAAUUCUUGAUGUUCCAAUUUCUGUGUAAUUAAACUUUCCCUCCUUAACGCCGUUUAACUCCGUUAAGUAUUUACUUUUAUUUUUUUUGUAAGUGGUAGGGCUCACUACCAAAUUCGGUGCAAUUAAGCCAUUCUCCCUUGGAUUUCGGUGCAAUUAAGUCCUUCCAUCUUUUCUUCUUCGCCAAGCUCGCAGAAAAAUUUCAAGAAUUGCAGAUAUCUCAUCCUUUCAAAUCUUCACUCAUAAUCUCCUCCACCGCCACGUUGCUUUCGAAUCUCACUCAUCAACAACUCUUCCAAUCACUUCCAAGGUUGCCCCGCCCUCCCCAUAGGCGUCUGCUACCUGAUGCUGGCGCUCUCCUCCUCCGUGAACGAUGUCGAAAUCAGAGGACUCCAAAUCGGCCUCGACGCCACCCCGUUUACCCGUAUCCCCUUCUGCGCUAGCCCCCGCAUGAACGCCACGAUCGCUCCCUUACGAGUGACAAAUUUGAAAGGAUGAAAUAUCUGCAAUUCUUGAAAUUUUUUGGCGAGUUUGGUGAAGAAGAAAGAGUGGAAAGGCUUAAUUGCACCGAAAUCCAAGGGAAUUGCACCGAAUUUGGUGGUGGGUCCCACCACUUACGAAAUAAAAAAAAUAAAAAAUAAAUUACUUAACAGAGUUAAACGACGUUAGGAGGGGAGGGUUCAAUUACACCGAAAUUGGGACAUCGAAGGCUUAACUGAUCCAAUGUCGAGUAUGAAGGGGUAUACACUCUAGGGGUGUCUACAUUAGGGGGUGUAUUUGCACUUUAACCCUUCUUUUAAUUAUCUUUUUGAGCAAACCACAUUUACCACAUGAGAUUACUAGAAUUAAUAGAUAAAUUAUUAUUUUCGAGGACAAAUUCAUAAUUACUCUCUCUGUCUCAAUACUAUGACUGUCGAUCGGUUCGGGUUCGGUUACCCGUACCGAAAUUUUGGUUACUCGUACCCGAAAUAUCGGUUACCUGAACCCGAAAUUGCCAUAUUUCACUAACCGUUUUCGAACCAUUUUACGAGUUCGGUUAUCCAAUAACCGCUUCGAUUACCCGAUUCGGUUAUUUGAGUAUCCGAAAUACCCAUUUAAAAAAUUAAAAUUCAAAUAAUUUCACGCUACAUCACAGGCUCACAGCAAUAAUUUCACGGAGGCCAAAUCUAAAUCAUCGGCAAUUACUAAAUUUGCAAGAUAUAGCAAGAGGUUAAUCAGUAGAGCUCAAAUAGUCAAAUUCUUUCAUUGAAAUUCAGAUGCAGCUAAAAUUUCACAAAUGAAUAGGAUUAAUUUAAGACCCUUCAACAAACCAUACCUGUCGGACUACCGGUUGCUAGAGCUCGACGGCGUGGCGGAGCGGCCUGGACUGGACUCGCGCUUAGGGACAGAGGGCGGUUGCCGGAGCUCGGCGGAGCGGCCUAGACUGGACUCGUGCUUAGGGCAGAUCGCGCUUAGGAAAGGAGCUGACAGAGGGCAGUGGACGAAUGACGGUUCACGGAGGGCGGAUGACGGAGGGCAGUGGACGGCGUCGGACGUCGGAGAGGGUGAAGGAGGUGAACAAAGCGACGGAAUUCAGGAAGGAGGCGGGCUGAAGAAGAGCUUAGGGUUCUGGUUUCAUCCGUUCAUAUCACU
rnacentral:lncRNA from 1 species